AAUAUGUACAUAUAGGUAUGUGUAUAGAUUAUAUAUAUAUAUGUGUAUAUAUAGAUAAACAUGAUAUAGAUGUGUAUGUAUAUAUAGAUCGAUAUUGAUAUGUGUGUGUAUAGAUACCGAAAUAGAUGAUUCAGAUGUUUGUGCAUGAAUAUGUAUAUCGGUGGACCUAAAGAUCUAGAUGUGUGCUAUCAGUGUGUGUAUAAUAUAUAUGUGCAAUUUCAGAUAUAUAUAUAAUGAGACAGAUUUGCUGCAGGCCAGUGAAUAUAGCAUCUAUCUAUUUUUCUUUCUUGAGAGCAACACACAGUACCCUGAGAGCGUAACUGUAACAGCUCGGUACAUUGGUGCUUGACCUCAGACCAUCGCAGCUGAAAUCCCAGCAUGCCUCUUGCUUCCAAGUUUAAAACCUGAACGAUUCAUCUUAGAAAUGUGCUUUGUGGACAAAAAAAAAAAAGGAGGGGGGGGAGAUGGGUUGGAUUUUUUUAAUUGUUAGAUCUAAAAGAAACCAAACAAUAAAAUAUAUAUGUCAAAUAUAUAUGUAUAAAUAAUUCCAAAAUGCUAUUCUUCUCAGCAAACGCUGAAGUUCGUUUUAGUCCUUAGAAUUUAACCUCUCUGGUUUUAAUAUCAAACCUACAUGUGACAGAUGAAGUAGAAAUCAGAAAUGUGAAAAUACUCCUAGUUCUGUUUUUUCUUUAUUACAUUUUUUAAUGUUGUAAAAUUCAUUAUGGUUGUGAUUGUAUUUAUUUCUGUUCUGUAAGGCAAUUUUUAAUGAUGUUACUGUACCUUUUUAUGGCACUGAAUGCUUGUUUUAUAUUUUAAUACAAAUGCUUUAACUUAAAAUACAAUGCAACAAAGAGAUAUUAAUUGGUGUAAUAUUUCACUACUUAUAUCAGUUUAGGAUAUGUCUGACAGUUCUCAAUAUUUAAUAUUUAUCUGAACUAGAAAAGCUUUUUUCUUUUUAUUUUACACUACAAUUUCAGAGAUUCUUUUAGCUCCAUUUAAAAAAAAUCAAACAUAGCAUUUUACUUCUGAAUUGUAAACUAUUCCAAAUGUACUGUAAUUGAAUUAUGAAUAUAAAAUUUUCCCCUAGAUUACAAUUAUUUUCCAUUACCUGUUUGGUUUUUAAAUCCAGAUGUAAUAUGCGAACAUCUACCAAACCUUUGUACUAUCCUGCUAUUGAUUUUACACUUGGAUACAUGAAAAACCUUGCCUUUCCUUGAAAAUAUAUUACUAAUCAAUUUGCGAUCAUUAUUUUCCAAAUGGCAGGGAAGAGACCAUUUUGUUUGUGAGAGUUGAUGAUUUGCUUAUAACUAUUUAAUAUCUUUGUUGAUUUCCUCUGAAGCAUGUCAGUGUGAACAAUGCCUUAUAAUCUUUGGAAGGAGAAUUUUUAAAAAAGGAAUUAUUCAUAUUUGUAUUCUGGAUAAGAUAGAUGUUUUCUUUUGAACCUGUUUCUGUAAUCAGCAUUAUUCUAUCACAAAUCCAGUUGUGUGGAAUGUAUAUCAAUGUUGCAGUGUGAUACAGGGCCUGAUCCAAAGCCCACUGAACUCAAAAGAAGUCUUUCUAUUGAUUUCAAUGCAUUUGUAUCACACCCUGAGUUCUAUAGUAAGAAACAAUACCAUGUAGUGCAUGUUUCAUAUAUUCUGCAGAAAUAUACCGUCUUUCCUCUCACCUCUGUGUUAAUAUUGGUGCACAAGGAUUUCUGCUCUAUUAUUAUGAGGAGAAGUAGAUGAAACAAAACAUGCAAAAGAUUGUACAUUUCAGAAAGGUUGCUUCUGCUGCAAAGGCAGGUUCCUCACCCCUCCCUCCCAGAAGCACAUCACUGAAGUUCAGUGAAAUGAAUAACAUAAUUGGUAGUUGGUUCAAUCACUACCAGUCUAGACUAGCCCAGACACAUCAAUUAGAGAGGGCUGUCUUUUUAAAGGGACAGUGCAACCGAAACAAGUAAGGCCUUAUCUCAAAGUGAAAAUCCAGCUUGGCAGAAAUAAAAAAAAGAGAGAGAGAGAACUAAAUUGGAGCUUUUGGGGAACAUAGAAGGCAGGAAGCUUGAGAGAACAGGAGGGAAUAAUAACUGAAAUAUAAUGCACUCCCCACCUCCCAUCGCCCCAACCUACCAGUGCAAACUCAUAAUUCAGUGCACCAGGGACACAGGUUCAGUGGCAUUUCUUAGUUAGAUUUGUGUGUGUGCAAUUUUAGAGAUGGCAAUGUUAUUGAAACUUAAUUACCUUAUAAAUAUCGAGUCAGAGUUAUUUCCAUGCAAGCAAAUAGAAAUCAAUGCUAAACUAUCCUGCAGCAUUUUUUCACCCUCCAAACAAACAAACAAAAAUCCAGGGUGCAUAUAUACUGGAAAGCUCUGAUUAUCUUCUCUCUGAUAAAAUUAUAAAGGUAACUACACAGCCUGUCUAGAUCCUAGCACAACUGUAUAGAAAAGUAAACUGCGAAAAACCAGCUUGUGUUAAUAGCAAAAUUGAGGAGAAAAUAGAUUACAGAAUGUCUUGAUUUUUAUUAAAAAAUUGAGGCGGUAAAUAAAGCAGGCUGUGUUUGAGACUGCAUCCAGCACUAAGAAAAGAAAAUGCUUGAUUAGUUUCAAUUAAAGCAUAUCUAAUAUAUUAUAAUGAAAUUUAACAUAAUACAUUCCAAGCUAAUCUUUGUCAUACCUAUAUGAAAAAAUAAAAGCAAAAAGCAUGAGCAUCUCAUUUAGAAUAUUGCAAACCCCUCCCCUCAAUAAAUGCUAAUUCAGCAAAAUAUAUUUGGCCAGAUCUUGCAACUGGGAGUUUUGCCUGAGUAAGGACUGCAAGACUGGGCACUAUGAGUUCAAACUCUUUAUAAUCUUAGCAGAACUUGCUUUCCCAAGCUGAAAGAAAUGAUGUUUGGUGGUGGCAAAGGGGGGAAGUCCAGGACCAUCCUAAAAAUCUUCCUUGUUGCUCAUUUAUUUCAAGAGCUAUAAUAUACAAAAGGUUGCACAAUACUGUAUUUUAAAAAUGGAGAAUGAUUUUACUACCCUUCCAUUCCUAAUUCCUUCCAGGGCACUUAGGGAUUUAUUGGGCUAGUUACCAAAUGAUAUGACAUACAAUUAAAUGGCUGGUGCUGAUUAGCUGAUUGAUUAAUUCCUAGUUGAUUUCUAAUUAUAAACUUUAUUCACAUUAUAAAUUCCUGACAGUAACAUGCCAGUUUGGUGGAAAUCCACUUGGCUUUCUCCUGUUAUAUUGCUUUGCAGCCAUUUAACAUGUAAAGUCAGUUGAAAAUGACAUAAAACAUUUUUCUAUAGUUUACUUUAAACAUUAACCUUUUGAUUCCCCUUUUAAAGAAUGGCCUCUUUGACCACACUUCACUUCUUCUAACUGUUAGGACAUUGGUAUAUAAUGUGUACACACACACACACAGAGUAACGUUGGAAACUACUGCAUUAUACAGAGAAUAAGUAACAAACUAUUCUUUAUUUUAAGACUUAACUUGGUGUGUCGUCAAAUAAUUUAUACUGUUUUGUGGAUAUUUUUCUUUUUUGCUGCCCGUGGCUGUUUAUAUUGGCUUAGUUGCAAAUAAGCUGCUAUGCAAACAUCAUAGUAAAAGGUUCAGAUGAAGUUUAUAAAACAAAACACAAAAGGCACAAGUUUUUAACCGUUAUCUCGCACCUCUGAAAAUGUUUGUGCUGACAUUGUCUAGAAGAGACGCUCCUGACCUAACUGGACUACAUGGCUGCUGGUGCUGCCCAGCCUUUCCCCAGUGCUCAGAGUGAAAGACCAUCCCAGUUCUUCUUCACUCUUGAGAACACACACAUUGUUUCAGUAAUCCCCGCAAUAAAUGCUAAUUAGUAAUGCACAAGGACCCUACCAGCCAGAGCAAUUAUCAUAAUGUACCUUUUCCUUUUAAACACAUUCCUGGCUGAUUUACAUUUUUUAAGCAAUAGUGUAUUGCCUGUUCCUUUGAAAAACCUUUCCAGUGCAUUAGCAGUAAGUGUGCGUGUUAUAUGUAGCAACAUUGAAACACACUUUGAUUAUUGCACAGAGAAUUGCAAAAAGAAAUGAAAGUGCGUAAAGAAUUUCCCACAUGUGAAAUUUUAUUUUCAAACCCAGAUUUUUUCUUUCCCCUCCCUGUCUGCCCCCCUUCUACCACCACCAAAACCCACUUACUGAGGAGAACAAAGGAAAUCACUAACUAUAAAGGCAUCAUUAAGUAUGAACAGCAACAGCAAGAUAAAGCGUGUGAUAUGACAACAUAUUUUAUUGCACAAAAGUCAAGAUAAUUAAAUAAUUCACUGGUAUUCUUAACUAAUUAGCACAAAGAUCUUUCAGAAGCCAUCAGGAGAAUGGAUCUAAUCAAAUCUAAUAACAUGCUGCAUUACUCAAAGAUCACAUAUUUUCCAAUGCUGCUAAUAUUUUUCAAACUGAUAAAAUAACAGGAAGGUUACAAAUAUGUGCACGUUUAAUCAGCCUGUAUUUCAAUGUGCUCCUUUUCUGCAUGAAGUGAUUAGAUCUUUGUGGGAAGUGACUAUGUACGGCGGGAGUUUCCAGGGCUAGUCAAUGAUAAAAAUCACAGAUUGAGAAAAUCAAUUCAGUUUUAACUAAUCUCUUAAAAGGAUUCAUUGUCGGGCUAGGAUUCAUUAUUGUGCUGAACAUUAUGGGGCUGACUCACUUGGAUUGAUGGUUUGUGCACGUACGCUGGAGUUUGCCUGAGAUCUUCUAAUGUGGCUCAUUGGGAACCUCAUUUGCCCAUUUUCUGCUUUCCCAACCUUUAAAAACAUGUCUACCAACCCGAAGAGAGACUGAUGCGUUUUAAUUCAGAAUCCAGUUGUGAGGCCAGAUUCUGAUUGCAUUUGACUGGUGUAAAAUCCGGACUAACUCCAUUGAGAUCAGUUGGGAUUGAUUUAGAUUUACACUGGGGUAAAUGACAUUGCAAUGACCUGUGCUCGUGGGGAAAUGCUUACUUUUUCCUCUAGGCGCAUGAGUCUUUAAGCAAAAGCCAGAGACUACGUGUACGAAGCAUGAGCACAAUAGGGGCAGACUGUCAGUGGCUACUGUACAGAAGAGCAGACUAUACCCUGGAGCACCUGCCAAGGCACUGAUGCUGCUAUUGGGAAUCUCUCCUGGUAGCGCUUUUCGGCAAAUAGACAUCAGAUACAGCGAAUAGUAUUCAUUAUAUGCAAUUAUACUGCAGUACUGAUACAUAUGCAUUGUUUUAUGUAGUAUAUUUGCUGACUCACAUUUGAUCAUAUACUGCCUAUAUAUUUUACGUAAGUAAAAGUGACUCAUUCCUAUACUAAACAAAGGAAUAUUUGGAAAAUCAUUUUGUCUGAUGGAAAAUUAAGCAUUUAUCCUUUUAAGGAAAUGUCUGUAUACUAUUCACCAUUGAAAUAACAGGAGAGGGCAUACGUAUAUAUAAUGAGGUUUAGAUGCAGUGUUGCCUACUUUUCUUACUAUGAGCCCAAACCUUUUUCGUGUACGAGCAGAGCUAACUCCCACAGACUCCACGGAUUACUGAGAUGAGGCAGUGUUGUGGGGUCAGGCUCUACGUUUGGUAAUUCUUUGUGUUUCACGUAGCAAGGUAGUGCCUGAAGACACAAACUGAGAUUGAAGCCCCGUUGUGCCAGGCACUGUCCACACACACAGCAUGAGAUAGCCCCUGCCCUAAAGGGCUGGCUGUCUAAAUAGACAAGACAGACAAAGGGUGGGUGAGAAAAAAGAGGCACCGAGAGGUGACCUGCUCAAGGAUACAUAGCAGGUCAUUGGCAGGGCAGGGUAUAGAACCCAGCUGGCCUGACUCCUGGGCCAGUGCCCCAUCCACUGGGCCACACCACACCUCUGGACAUGCACAGUUUAUGAAUACCGUCACUGGUAUGCAAGAAUGUAAAUUCAACAUAGCAAGUUGCAUUUCUAAUGCACAUUUGGCUGUAGUUGUGAAAGAAUAGAUGUUACUUACAUGAGCACGUUACACUCCUUUCCUGUAUGUUCUGCAUCCUGUUGUUGCUAUUCACUCCAUGUUCAGACUAUUGUAUUUGGUCUGAGAUGAGUGCUGGCUGAUUUAAAUAUAUAUAUUUAUAUUCAAGGAGAGCAAUUACUCUCUCUGAUUUAAUUACCAGCAGGACAGUGGGGUGGGAGGAGGUAUUUUUUCAUAUUCUCUGUGUAUAAAUAAAGUCUGCUGCAGUUUCCACGGCAUGCAUCCGAUGAAGUGAGCUGUAGCUCACGAAAGCUCAUGCUCAAAUAAAUUGGUUAGUCUCUAAGGUGCCACAAGUACUCCUUUUCUUUUUUCUCUGAUUUAAGAGAUUCAAAACAUGAAGGUGAUCAUGGAAGACUGAGGUCCUGCAUGUACAGUAAAUUAAAAUUGCUUUUAUUUUACUAUAGCUAUUCCAGUACUGUAUAAUCUACUCCCGUCAGAUGGGUUUGACUACUGACUUCUCACCCUAGCAUUUUGUUGGGUUGGCUGUUCUGUCCGUGCUAUACGGUGCUCUGCUCAGAGAGCUCCAAGGCAUGUAAAGGAUCAGCACCGGCUGUGCUGUGCAAUCAGCGCUUCUUGUGCUAUCCUGCAACCAAGGGGGAGCCUCAAGCAACAGCUAAUGAACAAGAAUUGCUUGGAUCCAACAAGUGAUAGAUUGACCUCAGCAGAAGCAACUUCUUGCUGCUGCCUCUCAAACUGUGACUGCUAAUGUAAAAAAAUUAAAAACCCAAAUAGCCAGCCAGCCAACCAACGCCGAUGCUAUUGUACCAGCUGCAACGUGUUGCUGCUCCAUAACCUUAGAAUAUGGGACAAAUUACAUAUGCCCAAGAGGAGGAAAAUUCUAGUCACCUCCUAAGAGGAGAAGAAUGGUCCCAACAGCUCUUUCUGGCCACCACAAGAAGCUGACCUGAUUGUCUACAUGCCACAGAGAGCUGUGUUCUGAUGAUCCAGGGUGCAGCAUACUGCUUGCUUGACCUGUGCGCCUCCUGUCACUUCACCCACAGGAAUGAGGAAGUGCUACGAAGCAGCAGAAAUUCUAGAGCUUGGCAAUCAGGAGAAGCAGCCCUCAUGUGAGCUCUUUUUCCGUGAAGCUUGAGACUUGCCUAAACUCCAGCUUCUCCACUAGGAACAAGAGUUUGUUCAGAAUAUGGCGGGGGAGGAAAAUUUGGCUACCGUGUGUGUGCACUUGUUCCAUGUCUGAACUUGCUGAGUAUACAACUAUUAUUCCCAAGGAAUCCAGUAAAUGGUGAAUCUGCAAACCAGUUA